rnacentral:lncRNA from 1 species
GGAGGCGCCAGAACCACUGAGCUAAAUCCCUGGCCUGAUCAUUCCUUUUUGAUAGUGGAAAAGCCAGCCUAGGAAGUUCUUGGAGGUUGGUGGAUGUUUGUGUAUGAGGUCAGGAAUUUCUGGGAUAUUUUUAAUGUCUAAGGGUUCUGCCUGCCCAACAAAAGGCUGUUUUGGUGACAGCAGAUGGACUUGCCUGGGUGACCUCCUGCCAGCGCCGUCCCAAGGAUGCCUGAGACUUAAGGACCUUGGCUCAUGCUGGACAGGUGGUGAAAAAGCAAAGGGUCCUGUGUUCUGCACCAGAAGCUGAAGCUCCUGCCAAUUUCUUCCUGCCAGUCAGCCCCUGCUGAGCAGGUCACAGGUGGGCUUCUCCUGGGUGCAUUUGAGUUGGCCUGUUUGCAUCUGCUUUGUUGCUGGGAACUGUGGUAGAAGGCUCUCUGAGCCUCAGUCUCCCCACCUGUGAAUUGGGAGUCCAAACAAUUACUGUCCUGAUGGAGUGGCUGUUCCUAAUGACUUUUUAAAGCAUUCAGAUGUUUUAACCUGGUUGUUGGGGCUCCUUAAUGUUUACGUCCUCAGGGUAUCAUGUGGGAAAUAGCCUGAGCUCCAGAACAUGGCUUUGGAGUGCUGCAAUUUGUUACUUCCAGUCAUUUGCUUUUAACAUCUUACCUGCAGAUUUUUUGUUUCUUGUUUAAUAUUUUGCCUGUGGAGUCUCAAGUGCAUUUGUGUGCCUUUCUUUUGGGAACCAAACUUUAUCACUCAUACAGUAACAAUGCCCUAGUGUUGGAGGCAUGGCCAGGAAGCGCUGGCUAGACACUCAGAGCCCAGUUGCUCAGGUGCUGAUUUCCACACAUUGGGCUCAAAAGGAAUGAGGCUUUCUGUUCCAAAGCUCACAGUGUGGAGAUGUGGUAUUAUACCUCUGUUUUAGGGAAGUCAUUAUUAGUCUUUGGGAGUCUUCUAAAAACAACUGAUGGAAUUGUUCAUAUUAGUUUAUUUCCCAGCCGCCCCCCGCCCCCCAUAAAAAGGUGAUUUCAAAAGACCUGUACGGGCUUUUUGUAGUGAUUUAUAGUUUACAGUCAUGUUCAAAUGUGUUCUAAUUACAGCCUCUCAACAAAAAGUCUCUGUUUUCAGGUGGAGAAGAGGAAGGGCUCAGAUUAAAUGAUAGCUCAGACACCCCUCUGCAGAGCUGGCCUUGCUCUCAGUCAUAUCCGGCUGCUGAGGACCUGGCUGGGGUGUGAAUGUGUUUCCCUGUCCUGGUUUUACAUAGCCAGCAUUGCACACUUGGGUUUGCUCCUGCUUUCUUAAGCUUUGGCUGAGAUUUGAACCUGGGUACGUACUGAGGUAGGUUGGAUGGGCAAGGUGAGCAGAGCUCUGGAGGAGUCUGAGGAGACUGUGUGCUGCCUCCCACCACUCACAGAUACCGUCCUGAUCCUUCCCGGCAAUCUGUUUGAUGCUGAUGGCCUUAGUGAGAUGGAUGCGUUGGGCAGGAGUUUGACCAGAAAUCUGUGUCACCUUUGGGUGCUUCUUCAUCUGCUAUUAAUGUUUAUAUCCACACACCAGACACCCACGGUCAGGAUCAGCAUGGCAGUGUAAGCAGGAUCAAGGGGUCGGGAGCUCUUCUUCCUGUUUUCAUCCAGUGAAGGCCAGCCAGCCCAUAACCAAGUUCACACACGUGUGCCACAAACAUACCUUGUGAGCUGACUCUCCGUUGUGAUUUUUCUCUUCUUGAGCUAUCUGUUACUUGGCAAAGAGUUCAUUUUCUGGAGCUGUCAUUCUAAGCUUCAUUUUGUACCAUACCAUUAAAAUUUUUAGAGUGUUUGCUUGAUUUAUGUUUAUUGAAACUAAAUUCAUUAGGAUGAUGUGAAAAUAGUGCUCACUGUUUACCAAAUCGGAUUCUUGUUUUUGAUAUUUUCGUACAUCAUCUGUUCUCACUUGAAUGUCG